rnacentral:tRNA from 1 species
GCCCCCAUAGUAUAAUCAAUUACCCUGGUCUUGU